rnacentral:lncRNA from 1 species
CAGUCUUCCACUAGCAGCUUUUGAAUGAAGACAUAGAACUCUCAGCUCCUCCUGCGCCAUGCCUGCCUGGAUACUGCCAUGCUCCCACCUUGAUGAUAAUGGACUGAACCUCUGAACCUGUAAGCCAGCCCCAAUUAAAUGUUGUUUUUUAUAAGACUUGCCUUGGUCAUGGUGUCUGUUCACAGCAGUAAAACCCUAAGACAGAAGUUGGUAACAGGAGUGGGGUAUUGCUGUGAUAGGGCUGACCAUGCUUUUAUUUGAAAGAAUGUGGAUUUUGGGACUUUGGAUUUGGAACACAGUGGACUGCUUUAAAUGGGGCUUAAUGGGUCAUCCUAGUAGGAAUAUGGAAGACUUUGUUGCUGGGAGUAAUUUGAACUGUGUUGACCUGGCCCAAGAGAUUUCAAAGGAGAAGAAUUUCAGAAUGUGGUCAUAAAGACAGUUUUUGUGGUAUUUUGGUGAAGAAUGUGGCUACUUUUUGCCCUUGUCUGAAAAGUGCCUGAGGCUAAGGUGAAGAGACUCAGAUUAAUUGCAUUGACAAAGGAAGUUUCAAAAAAGCCCAGCAAAGACUUUGUUCUCUGGUUAAGUCUUAUGAAGAGAAGUUUGAACAAGCAUAGCAAGCUUAGAAAGGAAAAAUAUAAAUUAUAUGGUUCGAGUAUUAAAGGCAUACAUACCAGGAAGUGAAAUGAAGCAAAAUCCUGUGUUCUAGGAGAUAACAGAUUAAGGGAGUGGGACCUUGGGGCAAGAUUCUAUCUAGCUAAAUUAAGAUCCAGGCAUGGUGGUACACACCUUUAAUCCCAGGAGACAGGCAUGCUGAUCUCUGCAUUCAAGGUCAAUCUAUAGAGCAAGAUCCAGGAUAGCCAAGCUUAGGCAGUGAAUGGUUUGGAAAACAUAAAGCCAGUGACAAUGUAAUAGUACAAGUGUUCUAACUCGUGCAAGCAGCAGAACUCAGCAGCUUCUGCCAUGUGGCUCUGGCUCUACAGUUAAAAAUGGAAGGAACUAUUGGGACAAUUUGAUGCUGGUUAGCUGGAGCUAAGAAAUUAGCAGUGAUUGAGAAGAGACCAGCAUCACUGAGGUGAACUCUUCUGGGAAGUGUUUUCUGGGAGCACAGAGAAGCUGUGUUCCAGAGAUAGCCAAGGUUGUACCUCGUGCUACAGCUGGACUUGGUAAUGUGUAAGAAUCACCCAGGUGGUACUGGUUUUGAAGGCAUAAAGGUAUCAUGAAGAACAGCUGAAGCUUGGCAUUGUGAAAGGUCAUGGAAGGCCAUUGGAGAAGGUAUAGCCUCAGCUGUAGUUGGUGGCCCAGGACCGAAGGGGUCAUGCAAAGGAUUUGAGGCUUGGCACCAUGAAGAGAGCCUAUGAGAGGCUAUUGGUGAAGCCUAGUUGAAGUAGAACACCCCAGUGUAUUGGAGAUGUCAGUACCAUGGGAUGAUCACCAAGAACAGCAGCCAUAGUGGAGUGGAUCAACCUGAGCUUAGAGUGCUACAGAGGGCAGAGCUGGAGAAGAGAUGCCAGCCCUUAGGAGGAGUCCAAAAGAUCAAGUGGAAUCCCAGACACUGAAACAAGAAGCUGUAACAUUGAAAUUGCCUUGGAGACUCAAAGAUGUUAAAGAUGCCAGAGCCAUGGGAUACAUGCUGAGGAAAGCUGCUAACGGAGUGGAACCAGCCCAGGAGAAAGCAGUUUGUUGCAGUCAACAAAGAUGAAAAAGGAGUGGAGUUCUAAAGACUGCUUUGACAUCAUCCUUGGAGAUGCAGAGUUUGGAGUUUGCCCAGCUGAUUUCCUGCCUUGCUUUGGGGAUUACAGUUAAUUAAUUAGAUGAAUCUCAGAAGAGACCUUGAACUUUGGACUUUUAACAUUGCUGAGACUGCUAUAGACUAUGAGGACUUCGAAAAUUGGACUAAAUGCAUUUUGCCUUAUGCUAUGUUUAGACUCAUGUUUUUGAACAAGUCUAUGAGGGCCAGGGAGUGGAAUGUGAUGGUUUGUAUAUUCUCGGACCAGGGAGUGGCACCAUCUGGAGGUGUGGCCUGAUUGGAGUAGGUGUGUCACUGUGAGUGUGGGUUUAAGACUCUCAUCCUAGUUGCCUGGAAGUCAGUCUUCCACUAGCAGCCUUUAGAUGAAGACAUAGAACUCUCAGCUCUGCCUGUGCCAUGCCUGCCUGGAUACUGCCAUGCUCCCACCUUGAUGAUAAUGGACUGAACCUCUGAACCCGUAAGCCAGCCCCAAUUAAAUGUUUUUUAUAAGACUUGCCUUGGUCAUGGUGUCUGUUCACAGCAGUAAAACCCUAAGACAAUAUUUUAAGUGCAUUAAUGUUUUGCCUGCAUAUAUGUCUGUGUGAAGGUGUGAAGUCCCCUGAAACUGGAGUUACAGGCAGUCAUGAGCUGCCAUGCUAGGAUUUGAUCUUGGGUCCUCUGGAAGGGCAGUCAAUGCUCUUUAACUGCUGAGACAUCUCUCUAGCCCUGAAACUAAUUUUAUUAAAUUCUUUUGAAGAUGAGUGGCAUAAGUAAGCAUAUUAUAGCUUAAUUGAUAAUAUUUAUAUUCGGGCUUACACCUUCAAUUCCAGGACUCUGGAUGCUGGGUCAGGAGACCCUGUCUCAAAACAAACAAAAAUGACAGCUUUCUUUCCAUCUUCUCUGGUGUUACACAAAAUAAUUCGGCUUAUAACCACUGGCAUUUUAGACUUAAUAAAAUGUGGUGCAAUUAGAAGACCCAUCCUCAGUUAUUUCACUCUAAUUGUAAUGAGUGAGUUUUACAGAUUUGCCUUUAUGCUCUUGAGGAAGUUUGUUACUGAGAAGAACUGACUAGGAGUGAGGCUCUUCCUUAUAUAAAUGGAAAUUAACAAACUAUUUGUUUUGCAAACUUUAAUGAAUGAUUAAAUGAUGGUGUGCCUUUUGGAAAUUAUACAUG